AAAACCAACAUUCUAUUUUUAGCACAUGGGAUUUCCAAUUUUCAUUUCUCUGUCAAGGUUGGUAGCCAAAUAUGGAUCCUAAUCAUAUUGUUUUCACAACAGAUGACUAUGCAGACAGUGAUGACGAGGACUUCGCAGAUGUAGAGGAUUUUGCAUAUGAAAAUAACACUUCUACUGGACAAAUACUUCAGUCUGAAGGCUUUGGUCCAAUGGGAAGUGUCAAUCAUGGGUUUGAGCCAGAACCAAUAGCUGUCGACAAUGAUGGUGGUGUAAUUCCUGCUAACGACUCUGGCCCUGGCAUUACCCAGACAGGACCAAGGGCCCCAGAGUAUGUAGCCUUGCACAGAACACCAGCAGUUUUACAAAUCAAUGAGUAUCUUACAGAGGAGCAGAAGAAACUGUGGCAUGACUUUUUCAAUGUCACUCCAAUCAACUCGGAGGAAUUAUUUAUGAAGUACAGUGCAUACUACUCAGCCAGGAGGUUUUUGUGGAAUAGAGGCUGGGUGACUAUCACAGGUUUCCCUGGUGAUGGGAAGCGAGCCCUGGCAGAACAUUUGAUGGUCAAAUUUGUCAGGAAACCAGAGAAACCCCCACAGAGACCCACUCCAAAAGAGCAGAACGAAUGGGAAGGAGCUUGGCUGGAUGAAGAUGGCCGACCACAGUAUACGGUGGUCCACGUCAACUCGUAUCAGGAAUGGCAGCGCAAGGUGGACCCGACCAAAAAGCAGUGUGUUUUGAUUGAUAAGAUAUUUGGUCCUGCAACUUACACUAUAUCAAAAGUGGAAGAAUGGAUCAACCACUUGGAUGAAAUUUUGGAGACGGCUGUUCGAAACAGACCAAACACUCUAGUAAUCAUUACUUUUCAAAAACACCAACUUGAGAAAAUUCACCCUCGAGUGACACUUUGUCCUCUCUUUCAGUCCAAGCAUGUCAUUGAUUUAACCAAUGACAGAUACAAGGCUAAAAAUAAUGAAAGACAAAAGAUUCUGGAAGGCAGUUGUAGUGGGAAACAUGGGUUAUUAAUAAAUGAACAAGAUGACGUUAUCAGAUCCAAUCUGAACUCGUUUGCUUAUCACUGUCGUCUAUAUGGAGGGGUGAAAAGCUUCCAUAUGGAAGGUAUGCAAUAUUUCAAGAGCCCUGAAAACUCAAUGGAAACUGUUCUGGAGAAAGUAUUUCGUUUUGACAAAAUCAUUUAUUACACUUUGGCAUGUGUAGGACUAUUUGAUGGAAAGAUUGAACUAGACAAAGGAAGGUUUGAAGAUUACACAGCAUUUCAACAAAAUAUAUUUAGGCAACUAAAAAUAGCUUUAGAAGUCCCGCAUGAUGUCAAUUUAGAGAAGAUGAGGCACGCUUGCACUCUUCUCUGUGGAGUGUUUCUUGAACCUAUUCAGUUACAUCAUUGGAAGUUUUGCCAUGAACGAAUGUUUUUCUUUGUGACCCAUUCCGUUUUCAAAAGAAUUCCUCUCAAAGUUUUAGAAAUUUGCAGUUUAAAUUUCUUAAUGGAACGUAUUAGAACAUCAAGUUACUUCACGAUAACCAUGGAGUCCAAUUUGUGUGUUUGGAAUAAAGAUUAUACAGCUUUGGCGCAAAGGCUUGUAUUUGAAAUUCUUAGAAGCAAUGCAAGGCUUAUAGCAUCUCAUCCAAGUUUAUGCGAUAUACGGUUUGGGGAAGCUUUUGUCAAAUUUAUGGGGGAAAUGGGAAGCUUACAACCGGUUUUUCUUCAAAGGGCCGAUUAUCAUCGUUCAUUCUUCUUUUGGCUUUGUUAUUAUGGACAAGAACAGACAAUCAAACAUUUGCUGAAACACGAAGAUUUUAAGAAUAUUAAGGAGAUGGAAUGGUUUAAAGAGGAACUUGACGUUUCUCUGUUUGCUGCUUGCAAUAGGAAUGGUGCCAGUAGUGGUAGAGUCGUGAAAAUGUUGUUAGAAGAAGGCGCAUCAUUGAGUUCUAGAGACCCGCUACCUGAUGACGAUUUUGUUCUCCUGUAUGGGCAGGACAUGUUUGAAUUAACUCGAAAACUUAAUGCUCCAUUGCUACAUGUUGCAGCACUUUAUGGGUCCCUUGAUACUUUACAAGGUUUGAUCGCCAACGGUGCAGACGUCAACCAGAGGACAGAAGACGGAUUUUCGGUUUACCACAGAGUAGCAAGAAACCCUGACGAUGCAGCUCUAAGAGCUCUUCUGCAGCCCAAACCCGACUUGACUUCCAUUAAGAGCGCGACAGGCAGUUUACCAAUUCACGAGGCCAUCAGAUGUGGAAAUGAUAAUGCAACCAGACACUUCAGCGAGGGCAUUCCCAAGGAUGCUUACAAGAUGGAGGAUGGUAGAUCAAUGUUGGCAGCAGCUACAGGCGUCGGUGUAGAGAGCGUAGUCAAGACGCUAUCAAACGCCAUGGGAUCAGCAAAUCCAGUGGGGUGCCAGGACAACUGGCCACCACUGCAUAGUGCAUGUGCAUUUGGGAAUGCGAAUCUUGUUGAGACGCUAUUGGGAAAUGGGGCAGACGUCAAUGCGAAAGGCACUGGAGGAUGGACGGCGCUUCAUUUUGCAGUUCUGUUCAAUAGGUCCCGAAUAGUCGAGUUUUUGCUAAAGAAAAAGGCUGAUGUGAAUAGUCAAGCCAUGGACAGAAAGACUCCAUUGCACAUUGCAGCUGAAAAUGAUCAUUGGUCCUUAGUAGAUUUGCUUCUAGAAAAUGGAGCCAAACCGGAAAAUACCACAAAUGAAGGAGACUUCGCCAUAACAUUAGCGGCAUCAAAUGGUCAUAUAGAACUGGUCAAAACAUUCGUAGAGGAAGGAAUCGAGCUCGAAUUUCCACAGGUGCGAGAAGAAGACCCGGAUGAAAGGCAGCGUGCAUUCAUGAUGAUGAUGGGCAGAGGCCGAGAGCAAGACAGAUUGGAAAGAAUGAUGCGAUAUACCAUGAGAGAAAAAGCGAAAAAUAUGAAAAAAUAAAGUUAACUUUGUUAACAAAGCAUUGACCAGUGGAUGUGAAAAUUUGUUUAAUUAUUUAUGAUAUAAUGACAGCACAAUGAUUUUACUAUAUGAAAUAUUUGUAAAACAAUCAAAUUAUUAUUCAUGUACAUUUCAUAUUUUGGGCUUCAUAUUUUUAUAACACAGAUUUAUUUUAUAUACAUGUAUUUGUAUUAUUAAAUUGGUUUUAUAUACUAAGUAUAUAUCAAAAAAAGGUUUUCUAAUGUACUAAGAAUAAUAGUUGUUACUGAUAGCUAAACAUUAAAAAAAAAUAGCAAAGUGU
rnacentral:misc_RNA from 1 species